rnacentral:rRNA from 1 species
UGAACGCUGGCGGCGUGCCUAACACAUGCAAGUCGAACGAGAACGGAUAUUAGUUUACUAAUAUUGUCAGCUAAGUGGCGCACGGGUGAGUAAUAUAUAGUUAACCUGCCCCAAAGAAGAGAAUAAUUGUUGGAAACGACUUGUAAUGCUCUAUAUGCCUUUAUUACAAAAGUAAGCAAGGGAAACAUUUAUGGCUUUGGGAUGGGACUGUACGGUAUCAGCUAGUUGGUGAGGUAAUGGCUCACCAAGGCUAUGACGCCUAACUGGUUUGAGAGGAUGAUCAGUCACACUGGAACUGAGACACGGUCCAGACUCCUACGGGAGGCAGCAGUGGGGAAUAUUGCACAAUGGAGGAAACUCUGAUGCAGCAACGCCGCGUGGAGGAUGACACAUUUCGGUGCGUAAACUCCUUUUAUAUGAGAAGAUAAUGACGGUAUCAUAUGAAUAAGCACCGGCUAACUCC